UGAGUGUUACAGCUCUUAAGGCAGCACAUC
rnacentral:piRNA from 1 species